CCUACGGGAGGCAGCAGUGAGGAAUAUUGGUCAAUGGGCGAGAGCCUGAACCAGCCAAGUCGCGUGAAGGAUGAAGGAUCUAUGGUUUGUAAACUUCUUUUAUAUGGGGGUAAGGUGAGUGACGUGUUCCUUUAUGUAUGUACCAUAUGAAUAAGCAUCGGCUAACUCCGUGCCAGAAGCCGCGGUAAUACGGAGGGUGCGAGCGUUAUCCGGAUUUAUUGGGGUUAAAGGGUGCGUAGGUGGUUAAUUAAGUCAGCGGUGAAAGUUUGUGGCUCAACCAUAAAAUUGCAGUUGAUACUGGUUGACUUGAGUAUAUUUGAGGUAGGCGGAAUGCGUGGUGUAGCGGUGAAAUGCAUAGAUAUCACGCAGAACUCCGAUUGCGAAGGCAGCUUACUAAACUAAAACUGACACUGAAGUACGAAAGCGUGGGGAUCAAACAGGAUUAGAUACCCGAGUAGUC
rnacentral:rRNA from 1 species